UACGAAGGGGGCUAGCGUUGCUCGGAAUCACUGGGCGUAAAGCGCACGUAGGCGGCUUGCUAAGUCAGGGGUGAAAUCCUGGAGCUCAACUCCAGAACUGCCUUUGAUACUGGCGAGCUUCGAGUCCGGGAGAGGUGAGUGGAACUGCGAGUGUAGAGGUGAAAUUCGUAGAUAUUCGCAAGAACACCGGUGGCGAAGGCGGUUCUCUGGGCCUGACCUGACGCUGAGGAGCGAAAGCGUGGGGAGCGAACAGG
rnacentral:rRNA from 1 species